UACGUAGGGUGCGAGCGUUAAUCGGAAUUACUGGGCGUAAAGCGUGCGCAGGCGGUUCGGAAAGAAAGAUGUGAAAUCCCAGGGCUUAACCCUGGAACUGCAUUUUUAACUCCCGGGCUAGAGUGUGUCAGAGGGGGGUAGAAUUCCACGUGUAGCAGUGAAAUGCGUAGAGAUGUGGAGGAAUACCGAUGGCGAAGGCGGCCCCCUGGGACAACACUGACGCUCAGGCACGAAAGCGUGGGGAGCAAACAGG
rnacentral:rRNA from 1 species